GACUCUGAAGCGUGUCCGUGACGGACAAAAAAAUUAGGGCACUUAAGGUUUUUCUGUUUCAUUUUCUCUCCGCUGCCGCACUUAAGGUUCCUCCAUUUCAUUUUCUCUAUUCUCUCUGCUGCCGCACUUAAGGUUCCUAGGCAACGCUUCCGCUUGGGCCGCUGCACCAGCCGUUGUCCCCUUUUGUCUCCCUAGAUUUGAAGGCAUUCUCCGUCGAGCUUGCCCUCUCCUUCAUCCUCCUCUCGUCACUACUUCUUGUCGCAGCAAACUUCUCGGAGUUGAUGUCGUGCAAGGAGUCAAAGCAAAAAAAGUAUGGUACAUAACCUUUGAGAUCUUGUCACUCAAAUGUUCCUGCACUUCGUCACUCUCCGCCAGGUACUCUAUUUCGCAACUCUUAUUCUCUAGUCUAGGGUUUAUGACUCUCUUCGUUUGUUUUCAGGCAUAUCUUGCUUGAGGAAGACAGAGUGAAAACCGAAACGGAGCGUGCCAAGGCUCCCAUGGAUUUCACAUCGCUGCAGCUUCACAACCUUAUGUACGAGAAAAGCCACUACGUGAAGGCAAUCAAGGCUUGCAAAGACUUCAAGUCCAAAUAUCCCGACAUUGACCUCGUUCCCGUGGAGGAGUUUUUCCGCGACGCUCCACAGGAUAUCAAGGACUCCGUUUUGUCAAGUGACGCUGCGCACAAUCUCAUGCUCAGGAGGCUCAAUUUUGAGUUAUUCAAGGUGACUCUGCGAUACUCUGUUGCGAAAAUCCUAACCUAGCGAGUGUGCUUCACAAUUUGCAAUUAGGUGGAUUGAACAAAUGAAAUUGAUGGAAGUGACAUAAGUGUGCAUUAUAAUUAUAUGUUUUUAUUGUAGUGGAUUCAAUUGCAUUAGUUUAUUUAGCGUGCCUCUGUCCUCAAUAUAAAUUUUGUAUUGAUAAGCUAGAAGCAAGGUUUUAAAUUGCAGUCAUAAUUUUGUGUCUAUCUUGUAUUCUUUUCUGACUUGUAUGAAUAAAUUUACAGAGCAUGUCUUUUGACAUUUUUGAUA